AUACACUACAUUUCAUGUAUCUGUUCAUCAGUUGAUAGAUAUUUGGGUUGUUUCCACCUUUUGGCUAUUAUAACCUUAUGUUAUAUUCCUGUACAAGUUUUGGGUGGGCAUAUGUUUUCUCUUGGAUAUACACUUAGGAAAGGUCAAAUGCUAACUAUGUUUAACCUUUUGUGGAACUGCCAGACUGUUUCCAAAGCAAUGGCAUCAUUUUACAUCUCCACCAGCAGUGUAUCCUUGUGACUUCUCCACAGCCUCUGAUGCCUUUUUGAAGGGGAGCGUCUGUGGCAAUUUUCCUGUCCCUGCCUUGCCAUUGCAUGUUGGGUCAGGGGAGGAGAGCAAAUAAUUUGUGCCUUUAGUUCACAGGUAUUUGGUUGAGAACAGCUGCACCAAAAGAGCCUCAUCUGUACCUGGACCUGACAUAAAUGAGCUCCUGGACUCAAGCUAACAUAGCAAUAGAGCAAGACUUGUGGGAGUCUUGGGUGUGGGCGAGUGCAGUGUGCACGUGGGUGAGUGGCCAGAGUGUGCCCUGUGGUAAAUUGCUGUUCUGGUGAUCACCUCCAAUGAACCACCCUUGUAGGUAUCCACUCCUUGUGGGGUUCUUUCCCACAUGGACUCUGGGCUGGGCCGAUUACUGCUUGAACCAUCAGACAAUGACAAAAAUGAUGCAGUGCCAGUUGUAGGCCUAGCCCUUAACUGCUUGGGCAGCAUCCUCUUCUUCCAUUUGGAACCCAGAUACCACAAGGCAACCUAAGCCGCCACUGGGUCCUAGCUGAUCUCCCCAACCAAGACUCAGAGGACCACAGCCAUCCCAGCAUCCAGAUGAUACCGCAAAAAAACAGAACCUCCUGGACAACUCAAUUCCCCCCAAGUUUAUGAGACAAUAUGGCUCAAGAGACAGCUACUAUAGAAACAAGUUAUAUUUAUUUACCCAGUUCCUCAACCCACGGGUUCACAGCACUACAAGGAGAUCUCUCGGAGAGCCAACAGCAGGAACAGUAGGGUUAUGAGGAGCAAGUGAGGUCACACACACCAAGUUAUGAGCAAGGCAGCAGCAGUCAACACUGCUGCCCUACUCCUCCAGCAGUGAGGAGGCAGUCGGUUUCACUCGCGCCUGGAUUUCCAAAGCCGUCUAAGUGGAUUUGCUAACUGAUGGGAGUUAACACAAGAACUGAUUCAAGAACUACAAGAAGAAGCCUUAUCUACCACAUGGAUGUGAAUAUGUGACAUUCAGACUAGGAAGCCACUAUCAACAUAUACAAUAACUAAGAUGACAUUUCAGCAUACAUUAUAAAUGCUGGUAAAGAUUUUUAAAAAAGAAAUCGAAGUUCGAAUAUUUUCUCCUAACACCUGGAUUGUCUUACAUAUCCCCAAGUAUACACACACUUUACACCCCACUUGGCCUUAAACUUUUAAUACAGCCUCCUCCAGUCUAUGCUCUGCAUGGCCUCAAACUGUUAACCUUUCUAAAUUAUAAGUCUCAUCAUGUUACCCACUCCCUUCUCAGAUAUCCUCCAUGGCACAACUCCUUACAGGGUAAAUCCAAACCCUUUAGCCUUGCAUACAAAGUCUAUGAUAUGGAGAAGGAUUUUGAUGAGGGAGCAUAAGGCACGCUGAGGACAAAGUUCAAGUUAGCAGCCCCCUCCCAGGAGUGUGCUAUGUGUGAUAUUCCUUGGACACUUCCAGCUGCCCAAGAACAGGAAAGGACAAAGAAAACAAAUAG